rnacentral:rRNA from 1 species
GUGAGGAAUAUUGGUCAAUGGACGAAAGUCUGAACCAGCCAUGCCGCGUGAAGGAAUAAGGCCCUAUGGGUCGUAAACUUCUUUUGUAUGUGAGCAAUAAGGUCCACGUGUGGUCCGAUGAGAGUAGCAUACGAAUAAGCAUCGGCUAACUCCGUGCCAGCAGCCGCGGUAAUACGGAGGAUGCAAGCGUUAUCCGGAUUCAUUGGGUUUAAAGGGUGCGUAGGCGGCUUGGUAAGUCAGCGGUGAAAUUCCAGUGCUCAACAUUGGCCGUGCCGUUGAUACUGCUGGGCUUGAAUGCGGAUGCCGUGGGAGGAAUGUGUGGUGUAGCGGUGAAAUGCAUAGAUAUCACACAGAACACCGAUUGCGAAGGCAUCUCACGAAUCCGCAAUUGACGCUGAGGCACGAAAGUGUGGGGAUCAAACAGGAUUAGAUACCCUAGUAGUCC